rnacentral:rRNA from 1 species
GGGGAGGGCAAGCGUUGUUCGGAAUUACUGGGCGUAAAGGGCUCGUAGGCGGCCAACUAAGUCAGACGUGAAAUCCCUCGGCUUAACCGGGGAACUGCGUCUGAUACUGGAUGGCUUGAGUUCGGGAGAGGGAUGCGGAAUUCCAGGUGUAGCGGUGAAAUGCGUAGAUAUCUGGAGGAACACCGGUGGCGAAGGCGGCAUCCUGGACCGAUACUGACGCUGAUGAGCGAAAGCCAGGGGAGCAAACGGGAUUAGAUACCCCGGUAGUCCUGGCCCUAAACGAUGAAUGCUUGGUGUGGCGGGUAUCGAUCCCUGCCGUGCCGAAGCUAACGCAUUAAGCAUUCCGCCUGGGGAGUACGGUCGCAAGGCUG